GAGAGGAGGAGGAGAGAAGAGAAGAUGGAGAGGAGAGAAACCCUAAAAAAUAAUAGAAAAAAAGUUACUUUGAAAGAGGCGUGCCUUGCCUCGCCUAGUGCCUCAGCACCUAGGCAACUAGGUGAGAGAGGCGCUCGCUUCUUGGGACUGAGGCGUGCCUUGCCUCACCUGGUGCCUUUAUUAACACUGCAGCAAUGUAGCAUUAGGUAACUGAUUUCAUGAUUUUUAUGCUCUAUACAUGGGAAUUUCUUUCUUGACAAAGUACAUGAAAUUUCUUCAAAGAAGACAGAAUUCGGGUUGUACAAGGAAACUGUAAAAUGGAAAAACCUGAAUAAACUGAAUGAACUCAAGCCAAAAUUGGUGGGUUUAGACAUCGACACGUUGGCUGCUGGUUGCAAAUAAAGAACCAAAUUUUUGGCUUGGGUUUCGGGUUAAAGCAUUAAAAGUGUAGAUUAAUCCAACCCAAACCGAAUGUAUA
rnacentral:misc_RNA from 1 species